rnacentral:rRNA from 1 species
UGAUUAGAAGCUUGCUUCUAUGACGUUAGCGGCGGACGGGUGAGUAACACGUGGGCAACCUGCCUGUAAGACUGGGAUAACUUCGGGAAACCGAAGCUAAUACCGGAUAGGAUCUUCUCCUUCAUGGGAGAUGAUUGAAAGAUGGUUUCGGCUAUCACUUACAGAUGGGCCCGCGGUGCAUUAGCUAGUUGGUGAGGUAACGGCUCACCAAGGCAACGAUGCAUAGCCGACCUGAGAGGGUGAUCGGCCACACUGGGACUGAGACACGGCCCAGACUCCUACGGGAGGCAGCAGUAGGGAAUCUUCCGCAAUGGACGAAAGUCUGACGGAGCAACGCCGCGUGAGUGAUGAAGGCUUUCGGGUCGUAAAACUCUGUUGUUAGGGAAGAACAAGUACAAGAGUAACUGCUUGUACCUUGACGGUACCUAACCAGAAAGCCACGGCUAACUACGGCCAGCAGCCGCGGAAACGAG